rnacentral:rRNA from 1 species
CUAAGCCGAGGCCGAAAGGCGUAGGUGAUGGACAACAGGUUGAUAUUCCUGUACCGCCAAUAAGCGUUUGAGAGAUGGAGUGACACAGUAGGAUAAGCUAACCGUACUGUUGGUUAUGUACGGCUAAGCAUUGAGGCAGUCUAAAUAGGCAAAUCCGUUUAGACAAUGCUAGGAUGUGAUGGGGAAGCCCUUCGGGGCGAAGUAGCUGAUUUCACACUGUCAAGAAAAGCUUCUAUCGAGUUUAAAGGCGCCCGUACCGUAAACCGACACAGGUGGGUGAGGAGAGUAUCCUAAGGCCAGCGAGAGAACUAUUGUUAAGGAACUCGGCAAAAUGACCCCGUAACUUAGGGAGAAGGGGUGCCUGUCUAUGACAGGCCGCAGAGAAUAGGCCCAAGCGACUGUUUACCAAAAACACAGGUUUCUGCUAAGUCGCAAGACGAUGUAUAGGAGCUGACGCCUGCCCGGUGCUGGAAGGUUAAGGGGAUCUGUUAGAGCAAUCGAAGCAGUGAACUUAAGCCCCAGUAAACGGCGGCCGUAACUAUAACGGUCCUAAGGUAGCGAAAUUCCUUGUCGGGUAAGUUCCGACCCGCACGAAAGGCGUAACGAUUUGGGCACUGUCUCAACAAUAGACUCGGUGAAAUUGUAAUCCCGGUGAAGAUGCCGGGUACCUGCGACAGGACGGAAAGACCCCAUGGAGCUUUACUGUAGCUUGACGUUGGGUCUUGGUACUACAUGUACAGGAUAGGUGGGAGACUAUGAAGCAUGGACGCCAGUCUGUGUGGAGUCAUCCUUGGGAUACCACCCUUGUAGUACUGGGAUCCUAACCAUAGGCCUUGAAUCAGGUCUUGGAACACCGUCAGGUGGGCAGUUUGACUGGGGCGGUCGCCUCCUAAAAAGUAACGGAGGCGCUCAAAGGUUUCCUCAGCACGGUCGGAAAUCGUGCGAAGAGUGUAAAGGCAAAAGGAAGCUUGAUUGCAAGACAUACAGGUCGAGCAAGGACGAAAGUCGGACUUAGUGAUCCGGUGGUUCCGCAUGGAAGGGCCAUCGCUCAACGGAUAAAAGCUACCCUGGGGAUAACAGGCUGAUCUCCCCCAAGAGUCCACAUCGACGGGGAGGUUUGGCACCUCGAUGUCGGCUCAUCACAUCCUGGGGCUGUAGUAGGUCCCAAGGGUUGGGCUGUUCGCCCAUUAAAGUGGUACGCGAGCUGGGUUCAGAACGUCGUGAGACAGUUCGGUCCCUAUCCGUCGCAGGCGUAGGAAAUUUGAGAAGACCUGUCCUUAGUACGAGAGGACCGGGAUGGACGUACCUCUGGUGUACCAGUUGUUCUGCCAAGGGCAUGGCUGGGUAGCUAUGUACGGAAUGGAUAAGCGCUGAAAGCAUCUAAGCGCGAAGCCAACUUCAAGAUAAGAUUUCCCACCGUAAGGGUAAGACCCCAGGAAGACUACCUGGUUGAUAGGUCGAAGGUGUAAGUGCAGUAAUGUAUUUAGCUUAUCGAUACUAAUAGGUCGAGGACUUGACCAA